GGCUCCAUAGUGUAGUGGUUAGCACGUCUGCUUUAUAAGCAGAAGGUCCUGGGUUUGCGCCCCAGGUGCAGCCA
rfam:Pteropus alecto contig4239, whole genome shotgun sequence.